rnacentral:lncRNA from 1 species
UCGUGUGUGGCUGCUUGCGCAGCUGCUCCGUGCCAGGCUUGGAGGACCAGGAGAAGGGGUAGUCACUUGCCACAGCUGGAGGCUGGAGCGUGUGGCACCACGGCUCGCCUCGCUGUGGUGGGUGCUGGCGACAGAGACGGCAGCUCGGCUGGACUGUUAAACAUUAUGUAAACUAAAGUACAGAACCCUGGCAAAACUGAAAGGCCCCAAUAUUAUUGGAACUCUUUUAUGAUUCAGCUUUUCAUGGAGUUCUACUUUAUCAUGAAAUCUAGCACACUGGUUCCUUUCAAUUAAUCCCUGAAGGUUAAUAUUUUUGGACCACAGUUGACCUGAGGUAACUGAAACUGCUGAAAACAAAACCAUGGAUAAGGGAGAACUCUUGUAUUAUCACAGAUUAUAUCAAAACUAUGGCUCUAGGCUUGUUAGAAGAGUUUAACAAGUGGAGCUUGAAGAUUUGCUGAGAUUUGUUUUGUGGCCUAACAUCUGAUCUACCCUGAAGACACUUCCAUGUGCUGAUGGGGAGAAUGCAUACUCUUCAACUGUUGAGUGGGAUGUUCUGUGAAUAUCUGGUAAAAAAACUGAGGCUUAGAAACAUUGAAAAAAACUUGCUCAACGUUGCAAAACAAGAAAUUUGUGACACUGGAAUUGACAUCUACAAGGGACUGAUGUAACUAAUUGCUGGAUACAUGUCCCUCAAAGACACAGAAACAGAUCUUGUAUUCUAGUGGAUCUCCGGCACCCAGUGAGGGCCUGAAACAGAGUACAUGUCCAACAAAUAAUUAUUGAAGUAAAGAUUGACAUUUCAGGAGCAGAGAUUAAUAUUCAAAAACAAAGAUGAGAAUUUUGGCAGAAAAGUCAAAAUGAGGUUCCAACGUGGCUCAACAUGGCAGUUGCUGAUCCUGACUUUGCUUAAAAUUUGGUACUUUGUUUAUCACAAAUUUUAAAAUUAAUUUUGAUUUCUCAAAAUAUUGAUUAAAAUGUUUAUCUCUA